rnacentral:lncRNA from 1 species
UUGAUCAUAGAUGUGCUUAUCAAUUAAAAAUAAAAAUUUUCGUUGCUAGCCCCUUUGAGCAUAUAGACCUUUUCUUUGGCACUCACUGUCACGACUCUAAAACCGACCCGAUCGUGAUGACGCCUAUCGUGAAACUACGCCAGCCGACACAAUUCCCGAAUUUAACCAUUAUUCAAUAAAAGUCAUUUUUAAGCCUUUAAUUAAUCAAAUAUCUCGUAAUGUAAAUCUAAAUGGACAGUGCGAAAUAAAUACACAAGCCUGACAUCGGGGUGUCACAAGUCACGAGCAUCUACAAAGGUCAAAAUACAAUGAAGAGUCUAAAAAUAUCCUAAAUACAAUAUAAGGAAGACAGGAGGGAGAAAAACAAUGUUGCGAACAUCGGGAAGCUACCUUGCUAACUCCGAUGACUCUGCCACUGAGCAAUCAACACCCGCUACCGGGUUCAAAAUUUUCUGAAUCUGCACACAAGGUACAGGGAAGUAAUGUGAGUACGCCAACUCAGUAAAUAAUAAAAGUAAAUGAAAGCUGAGUAGUAAGAAAACACGUAAGACACAGCAUAACGCUACAGCAAAUGCAGUACAUUUCUAAAAUAGUACAGAAAUCAUUUUCUUCGUAAAUCAAGCUCAGUUUCAGUAAACCCUUUUAAAACAACUUUCAAUAAUUUCAAACGAGUGAUAAAAACAGUGAGUAAAAAAACGCUAGAAACGUAAACAGCCCCUCGGGCAAAAACAUGCACCAUAAACUGCCCCUCGGGCAUAAUAUCAACAGAACCAGCCCCUUAAGGUACCUCACAAUCACUUGUAAUCAGCCCUUCGGGCAUAACAUGAAUCAAGAAUAGCCCAUCGGACAUCAAUAUGAAACAACAACAGCCCUUCGGGUUACAACAUAUCACUCACACUAGGUAUCCGCGCUCACUGGAGGUGUGCAGACUCCGGGAUGGGCUCUUUACCGCCCAAGAACAAUAACAAGCCAUCUCGUGGCUUAAUCAAACAGGCACUCAGCCUCAUAACAACAAGCCACCUCGUGGCAUAAAUCAAUCAGGCCCUCGGCCUCACAGCAUCAUGAAUCCAUAAUAACCUGCUGCGGCAUGCAGGCCAAUCCCAUAAUAUCCUAACAACACAGGCCAUUAGUCUCACUCAGUCAGAAUCCUCUCAAGCCACUCGGGCAAUAGUAAAACAAGAUGCUCAGCCCAAAAUAUCAUUUAAAAGAUCAAAACGGAGUAAAUACUGCUGAGUUAUGAAAAUAGUAAAGCACAGCAUAACUGAGUACAGAUAUUAAGUCAAAACAGUGAAGAAUAGUAGUAAAAAGCCCCUAAGGGUCAAAAAUAGUUGGCACGAGACCCAAAUAUGGCAUUCAGCCCAAAACAUGGUAAUACUUUCCAAAAUACAAUGAUAUCAAACAGUAUUCAAUCAAAUACGCAGCAGUCGCACGAGACGAACCGAGUCACAAUCCCCAACAGUGCACGAACUCACGCUCAUCAUCUAGCGUGCGCAUCACCUCAAAGUAGCACAACGAUGUAAAAUCCGGGAUUUCAUACCCUCAGGACAAUAUUUACAAUCAUUACUUACCUCAAACCGAUCCAAACUCUAGCCCGCGAUGCUUUUGCCUCUCGAAUCAGCCUUCAAAUGCUCCAAAUCUAACCAAAAUCAGUAUAUUAUCAUCAAUAUAUGCUAAAGGAACAAAGUCCAAGCGAAAAUCAUCAAAUUACAUUAAAAAUUCCGAAAUUGGCCAAAUCCGACUCGGGGCCCACAUCUCGGAAUCCGAUAAAAAUCACAAAAUCCGAUAACUCAUUUAACCACGAGUCCAAUCAUACCAAAAUUACUAAAUUUCGACAAUAAUUCAGCAUUCCAAAUCUUAUUUUCAAAUCUCUAGGUCCAAAUCCCCAAUUUACACCUCAAAAACAUGUAAUCUAGUUGGAUUAUUCGAUGACAAUUCAAUAUUAUGGAGUAGAAAUGAUCACAAGUGACUUAUCUCAAGAUUUCUCAUGACUUCUCGCUCAAAAAUCGCCCCAAGCUGCGUUCUUUUCGUCCAAAAUGUGAUAAUGAGCUAAAAAACAAGACAGCUCAAUAAAACACGAUUCUGGUCACUAAAAGCCUCAUUCCCGUCGCGACAAGUGCCAAAUCUGGUCACUAAAGGUGCGCACCAGAUCCUAUUGCACCAGCAAUAUUUAUUUUCACUAAAAAGGCUCUAACUCCACCAUACGAACUCGGAAUUCGAUGAUUCUUGUUCUUAUGAGUCACAAAUAAUAAUACAAACAUAGUCCUUCAAUCGAAACUCAAUUCAGAGCUCAUUUGCUCAGUGCGAUACCCAUUUCGUUCGUUAAAUAAUUAACUCAUGUUUCGCGUCAAAAACUCAAUCGCGACUAGAUGAAAUUAGACUAAACUUUCCAGAUCACUCCUAUAAUUCAUUAUCAAAAUUCUGGAAGUCUCGAAAUCAAAUUUCGAUCUCUAGAACUAAAAUAGAACUUUGGAUCAUUACAUGCUUAUGCUCAAAACGGUAAAAUCUUCCAAAAACUAUUCCAAAACUUAUCCAAGCCUCAUGGGACCUCGACCAAACAUGCCAACACACCUCAUAACAUCAUUCAAACUUGUUCCAACCUUCGAAACGCUCAAAUCAAUAUCAAAACAUUGAAUCACCCUCAAAUUUAAACCUAAGAAUUUUAAAACUUCCGAAUUCGAUCAAAAAGUCUAUCAAAACUCGUCCGAAUGACCUGAAAUUUUGCACACACGUCACAAAAGAUACAACAGACCUACUCCAAUUUCCGGAAUUUCAUUCCGACCCUGAUAUCAAAAUUUCCACUGUCGACCAAAAAAGGCCAAAUUUUCAAUUUCGCCAAUUCGAUCCUAAAUCUACCACGGACCUCCAAAAUAUAUUUCGGACGCCUCCCAAGUCCAAAAUCAUCUAACGGAGCUAACCAAAUCAUAGAAAUCCAAAUCCAAGAUCGAAUAUUAAAAAGUCAAAACUUGGUCAAACCUUUCAAAUUUAAAGCUUCAAACUGAGUUGCUCUUCCAAAUCUAUUCUGAUUAUCCUGAAAACCAAAAUCGACGAUUUACAUAGGUUAUAAUACAUCAUACGGGGCUAGUUAUGCCCGAGAACUAGCGAGCGAAGUGCAAAUGAUCAAAACCGAUCGGGUCGUUACAUCCUCCCCCACUUAAACAUACGUUCGUCCUCGAACGUGCCCAGAGUUGUUUUGAAAACUAUCAAAUCGCUGGUAACCUUACCAUGCACAUACCAGGGGGUGAUCUCACGUCACCCUAUCCCAUAUAGGUCUGGUAACACAACAUAACUGAAAUUUCACAAUUCAUCAUAGCCCAUAACCUUAGAAUCAAUUUUCCACUUCCGAAAUUGUCUAUAAGAUCAGAAUCUCACAUCUACAAACUGAAUAAGUCUGAACACGCUGUAUCAAGCUAUAACCGCAAUCCAAGAUGAAAAUCACAUGAUAUAUCGCACAACUCAAACACUCAUAGCGAUAACUUCUAAUAACAUCAGCUGCUCAAACAACCCAAUUUCGGUAAUAAACCUCUUAUCAAACCAAAGCCUCAUUCCAACAUUUUUGUAUACUGCCAAUGAUGAAUGAAACAUGUAGAACGUCAUAACCAUUCUUCAGAUCAACCAUUCAUGAAGCCACUUCUCCCUUGGCAAGGACCAUAGCAGAUUUCUGAACCGAACAUCGAUAUUAUCUUUCCAACACGCUGAAACCAAAUCUAUUUGUAUUCAUUCUAGAUCCCAACGAUAUCAUCCAAUCCAACACAACUACUCGGGUGACAUGACACAUCAAUACAAUCUAAAGCCACAACUCGUGCAAUCCGCACGUCGAUAAGCAACAAUCCGAACGUACUCAAAUCAUGAAAAAUGACUUAAAUGAAAGAGUUGUACCGCAAGCUCACCAGUACCACCACAACAAAAUGCUGAGAACCCAUCACACGACGUAGAACUAGAACACACGAAUCUAUCCAGUAGGAUCAUACCACCACCUAGCUUCGCUCCAAUGCGCGACCCCAUCCAAACACUAGUCCACAUAAAACACCUCAAGUCAUUAUGCUCCAAUCGACAACCACGUGCAAUUUGAUGUCUAUAACUAAAGCAAAUCAUCAUAAUCACGGCAAAGUAAUUGACAUAACAUUACACAAACCCGAAAGGACACAACCGAUACGUCAUCCGCCGAGCAAUACCCAACAUUCUUCCUGCUCGAAUUCCACUGAGAGACUCCAAUAAAACCGUACCACAUGUGCCUAUAACCAACAAAUCUCAACGCCUCACAACACGUAAAGGUAACUCAUAGAUCUCCCCAAGUCACUAAUAAGCUCAACAACAAUCGAAUCAACACAUCCCUCAACAAUACAACUCGGAGUCAACCAAGCCGACUCAAGUUAGAACACACAUGCACAUUGGCCUACCAAUGAACCCCUUAUCAAGGAGUCCCUGAAGCUACUCCUUCAACUCCUUUAACUCUGUCGGUGCCAUACAAUACGGUGUCCGGCACCCAAUCAAUACCGAAAUCAACAACCCUGUCCGACAUGUCUGGCAGCAAGAAACACAUCUGGAAAAUCCCUCACCACCAGAACUAAAUCAAUGGUAGGAGUCUCUGCACUGACAUCCAUCACGAAGGCCCAAAUAAGAAAGGCAACUCUUUCCAACCAUCCGCUGGGUCUUCAAAAAUGAAAUCACCUUACUGGAAACAUAAUCCGUCGAACUUCGUCAUUCAAUCCGUGGCAUCCGUGGCAUCCGCGGCAUUGCCAACGUCGUUGUCAUAGCGCAACAGUCCAGAAUAACACGACACUAAGACAACCGGUCCAUACCCAAUAUCACAUCCAACAUCUAACAUACCCAGCUGUCACACCUCCUUUUUACACCCGAGAGUAUACAAGGUAGUUUUUCCAAUUAAAGUGACAUAAAUCGAAAUGGAAUUAUUGUAUUUAUUUUUCAGAGUCGCCACUUGGGAUAAUUUAUGGUUUCCCAAGUCACCGGUUUAUUUUAAAUCUCAAAUCAAGGAAAUUCGACUUUAUUUAAAAGUCUGCGACGUCAGAAAUUCUAGAUAAGGAAUUCUGUUAACCCGGGAGAAGGUGUUAGGCAUUCCCGGAUUUCGUGGUUCUAGCACAGUCGCUUAAACUAUUAAUAAUUGGCCUAUUAUCUGAUUUACUAUACAUUUUAAACCUAUUGUGCAUUUUUAGCUUUAUAACCGCUUUUAUUUAAUUUAACCGCUUUUAGGAUUUAUGGACUUAUUUCUUGAACAAGUUACUAUUAUCGUACACUUGUUUGUUUUGGAACACACCGCAAACCACGCUACAUGAAAUGCACAUGUGAUUCGCGACAUGUUUACUUUUAUUAAUAUUCAAAGUUGUUAUGAUCGGGUCACAUGAAAUGCACACCCGAAUUGAGAUUAGGUAUCACGAGCAUGCCACGGAAACCGUACCCAUAGCCGUGAUGAUUUAUUUAAUUAACGCAGUUAAAGCAAGCUACGAUGUUCAUGAUUUAUUCUUUCUAAGUUUGAGAUUAUUGCGAGGCCAAGAGUUUAUACACAUAGGUUUAUUGAAAUAAAAGAGCUUAUUGCUUUCAAAGGAUUGCUUGCGUCUUUACCAAUUCAUUUGCUGCAAAAUUUAAUGUUUCUUUAUUCAACUUCAACGUGGUCUAGGUCAUACACCCUACUGUCCAUAUAUACGUAUGCAUAUACAAUAUAUUCAUGUCCCAUUAUUAACAAGGUGCAAUUUUAAAGGAAACUUCUCUAUUACAAAAUAAUUUUCAAACAUGUAUCCUUUCAUGUCACCACUAUUAUCUUUACAUUACAAGUCAUAAAUAUUUAAAGUAUUCCAAAAACAAAACUAAGCACGGUAACCUUCAAAAUCCAAACACCCAAAAUUUCAAAUCAAAGGAAAUGUACCAGCGCAUGUAAGAUAACUAAUAUGGCCACAAUUUAUUUAAGCAUAAUCUCCAAAGCUAGUACAAAAUAAAGUGCAAAAUGAGAAUCUGACUUUAGGAGUUUAAGAAAUGGACCGAGUAAAUCAUGACAGGAAACUAACUGAGUAAGAUAUUGGACCCUUUUGUUUAAGUGUCUUUACACUUAAAUGUUUGUUAGAGAUGUGAGUUGUAGAAUUCAUCUGAUAUAUUCAAUAUGUGAUCCAUACAUAAUAACUACAAAGCGAAGGUUAUUGAUGUGGCAAUUCCACUCUUUCGCUCAUGCUCAACGAUUACUAGUGGUUUAAUCCUUUUAGGAACAAAAGUUAUUAAUGAUGUGUGAGAAAGCAGACUAUCCACAAGGUAAUUACAUGUUGCGUCUGGAGUCUAUAACCAAAAAGAAAGUAUUUCAGUACAAGUUCAAGGUCAAAUAAAGGAAUUAUAAAGAGUCGAGACCAUGCACCCAACAAGCAGACAACAAUAGUUUUUAAUGUUUUAGUAAAAAAAUGGAAAGAGUAAGAAUCACAUUAUUUUAUAACAAAACAAUGGCAAGAAACUGACCGAGUAAAGGUCCAAUAACAGAGGAUUUGAAUCUCAAGCCCAGCAGAGAAGAACAUCAGCAAAAUAACUCAACCAAACCCAGAAAAUCAACGCCAAGCCAAGAGAAAUCGAUGCCAGUCCCUCUAAUUCCAGCUUUCUUCUUCUUUUUGUUUUUGAUUUUUGUUUGGAACUCUUUUUAUCGGAUUUAGAUCUGUUUGAUUUUCUUUGAGAUUUUGAAAAAUUUGUUUUUCAAAUCUUUGGUGUUUCUCUGUGUGUAUCUUCCGUUUGAGAGUGAGAGUGAGACUCAAUGGAGGAAGAAGAGGGAAUGAAAGCUUGAUUUUUUGGAGAAGAUUUUCGCUCCUCUCUUUGCACCGCUUCUCUGUAUUUUUGUAAGGGUGUGGUCCGAUUCUUCUUAGGUCCAA